rnacentral:rRNA from 1 species
UACGAGGGGAGCAAGCGUUGUUCGGAUUUACUGGGCGAAAGAGCGUGUAGGCGGCCAAGCAGGUCCGUUGUGAAAACUGGAGGCUUAACCUCCAGACGUCGACGGAAACCGCGUGGCUAGAGUCCGGAAGAGGAGAGUGGAAUUCCUGGUGUAGCGGUGAAAUGCGCAGAUAUCAGGAAGAACACCAAUGGCGAAGGCAGCUCUCUGGGGACGGUACUGACGCUGAGACGCGAAAAGCGUGGGUAGCGAACAGG